AUAUCUUAUUCAGAUGGGUUGUAUUAACUUAUCCUUGUAGUAAGUUCCCUUCCAUAGGAGGUCUAUAUUGAGCAGAUUCUUUUUGGUAUUGGGUGGUGGAACCGGAGCGUGCUCCAUCCACUCCAUGCAUUGACCUGGUAUUGCAGUGCUUCCAGGACCAGUGCAAAAAAA
rnacentral:snRNA from 1 species